GAGCCAGGCAAGAGUACCCGCUGAACUUAAGCAUAUCAGUAAGCGGAGGAAAAGAAACUAACUAGGAUUGCCCCAGUAGCAGCGAGUGAACAGGCAAAAGCUCAAAAUUAAAAUCCUAGGCGCCAAGCCCUGGAAUUGUAAUCUAGAGAAGUAUUCCGAAGGAGUGCCAGGUCGCGUAAGUUCCUUGGAAGAGGAUGUCAAAGAGGGUGAAAACCCCGUAGUCAGCUGACCUCGUGCGCCGUAGGAGUGCUUUCAAAGAGUCGGGUUGUUUGGGAUUGCAGCCCUAAAUGGGAGAUAAACUUCUUCUAAAGCUAAAUAUUGAUGGGAAACCGAUAGCAUACAAGUACUACGAAGGAAAGAUGAAAAGAACUUUGAAAAAAGGGUUAAAAGACUUGAAAUCGUUGAGAAGGAAGCGGUUGAAGAGUAAUUAUAUGGGCUCAAUGUUCUGUAUAAGUGUGCGAGACUGCUUGUGUGGUAUUCGGGUUCGUCAAAGGCCCACCACGUGAGCAGCUUAAUUGCGCUUUGCGGACUUUUUGGGUUCAUUCGACAAAAUCAGGUUCUUUGUCCCCCUGAGAUUAGGGCUUCUCUUACGACGCGUUGCCUUGUUGCAGCGUAGUGGGAGGCUUCUGUCGAAACCAGGGGGGGGCCUGAGGGAUAAUCUCUGCCUAUGCGGCGAU
rnacentral:rRNA from 1 species